UACGGAGGAGGCAAGCGUUAUCCGGAAUUAUUGGGCGUAAAGCGUCCGUAGGUGGUUUAGUAAGUCUGCUGUUAAAGCGCGGGGCUUAACUCCGUAUCGGCAGUGGAAACUACUAGACUAGAGUGUGGUAGGGGUAGAGGGAAUUCCCAGUGUAGCGGUGAAAUGCGUAGAUAUUGGGAAGAACACUGGUGGCGAAGGCGCUCUACUGGGCCAUAACUGACACUGAUGGACGAAAGCUAGGGGAGCGAAAGGG
rnacentral:rRNA from 1 species